UACAGAGGGUGCUAGCGUUGUUCGGAAUCACUGGGCGUAAAGCGCACGUAGGCGGAUCCUUAAGUCGGUGGUGAAAUCCUGGAGCUCAACUCCAGAACUGCCUUCGAUACUGAGGGUCUUGAGUCCGGGAGAGGUGAGUGGAACUGCGAGUGUAGAGGUGAAAUUCGUAGAUAUUCGCAAGAACACCAGUGGCGAAGGCGGCUCACUGGCCCGGUACUGACGCUGAGGUGCGAAAGCGUGGGGAGCAAACAGG
rnacentral:rRNA from 1 species